rnacentral:rRNA from 1 species
UAUGGGAUGCUUAAUAUGAGCUCUCAAAAUAAACACAUUCAUGUGUAUACUUCCAUGUUGCUUUCCCAGGCCAGUGGCCACUGCCACCAGCCAGUCCAUUAUUCUGUCUUCAGGUUGAGGUGCUUGGGAAAGGGUCAAUUAUCAAACUUCUUUAUAUUAACCUAUUGUCUGAUGAGGCUAUAUGCCGUAAUAUGUAAAUAUGUUAAAACUUUCAACAACGGAUCUCUUGGCUCUCGCAUCGAUGAAGAACGCAGCGAAAUGCGAUAAGUAAUGUGAAUUGCAGAAUUCAGUGAAUCAUCGAAUCUUUGAACGCACAUUGCGCCUUUUGGUAUUCCUUAGGGCAUGCCUGUUCGAGCGUCAUAAACAAUCUGAUCACCAUAUGUGUGGUAUUGGCAGAAGUGGAUAUAGUCAAGAGUAUUGGACUCCACUCUGCUGGAAUGAAUAGGCUGGAAAAGUAGAUCAUAGCAAUAGACUUUCAGAGUAUCUUAGAAUGCUAAAUUAG